UAUUUUUUGCCAAUGGCUAUUGCCAUUAGAGGGCAGGGUGAACCCAGAGCUGAGUUGAGGCAGAGGGCAGAUUUAAGAGAGAAUAAAGAGGACAGAUGGAUCACUAGUACCUGCCCACAGCCUUGGCCCCUGAAGUCUAGACUGGUCAACUGCAGUGCAAUUCGUUGUACUGAAAAUGUGCUUCUUGUUUGAAGACUUGUCUGCAUGUGAACGCCUCCCCCCAAUCCCUUUUCUCUCUCACCCUCUGUCUCCACCCUCAAAUUGACUUUCCAUAGCUUUUCUAGGAGCUUUGAACCAAAUAUUCUUUUUAGCCAAAACUUGGCCACUUCCAACGAAGACUAAGAUGAGUGAGAAGGAGAGAAAAGAUCUGCCCCUUUGAAAGGCCCCAUCCAGAUCCAGGUCUGCUUUCCCAUUUGUGGGCUAAGCAGGAGCUUGGGGCUGGAGUCAGAGGAAAAGGAAGUGGUAGCUUGGCUGUUAUCCUGCUUAGGACAAUGAAGAUUUUAUCCCUCUUUGCCUCCACCUUUAAAAGACCUCAAUGUUUUCUGCCUGAUUCCAUGCAGCUGCAAGCUCCUGCACCCUCCCUUCAGUGUUCUGUGGGCCUGAACUUCACCAGACUGCAUUACAGCCAUGGUGGUGAAGCGUGUCCACUUCUUUUGGCAUGUUCACAGACUCUCUGCUAAGAGCCCCAACCACCAAGAAGGCUAGCAAGCCAGCAGUCUUGACAACUAUCUCUAGAUGCCAGUAGGCUCAGAGACUUCUUACCAGUAUCUCUCAUCAACCAUCAGAUCUCUGGAGCCCUUAGACAAACUGGAAAGAAGGCAUUAAUGGAAUUGGACAAGCUGAGCGUCUUGCCCUUGUCCCUCAGAGAUGAUAACGUCCCACCAAGUGGAAAAAUGACCACUUCCUCCUUCAGAGCAGCUAAAGGGGCUACCCAGAUCAGGGUUGAAGAGAAAACUCAAUUACCAGGGUGGGAAGAAUGAAAGCACUAGAACCAGAAACUCUGUAAAUGCUCUCCUUACCACUCAGCAUAUCCACUUACAAAAGUCAUGGGAAGAAGAGAGAAGAAACCAAGAGGAGACUCAGACUACUAAAGUCAAGUCUUCAGAGGCAAAAUCUAAAGCCAGAUGGGCACCAUCUGAGUGGAUGUGGUUGGUACACUGUGCUCACCCAUGAAGGAUCGGCCAUCCAGACCUACUCACAUGGUGAGCUGGAAGAUGAAGAUCACUCACCAGACAACUCACAGGGACUAUCUCCAAAGAGAUGUGCAGUGCUUGAUGGGGACAGAGAAUGAAGAGGAGAAAAAGAAAGAGCACCAAGGAGGAGGCCCCGUCUGUGCUGGGCAGCAGACAGCUGCCAAGGUCACAAACUUUGUGGCCAAAGAAGAGAGUCGUGUGGCAGUUUCAGCUCUUGUUCAUUGGGCAGCUCACCCAGACUUGGCCUCUGAGCUGAAAUGGGGGUUGGGUUCUUUGUUCCACAGCUUUUCUAUGCCACAGACAGUGUCAUGUUCUUGGAGAAUUCAUUUUUUUUAAUAAGAAAGUGAUUUUUUGAAGGAUUCUGUCAUAUCUCUUUGAAAAAGAAAAUCAGUAAUACAUAUAUUUUUAUAUAUGUUAACUGGUACUAAAAAAGAGAAAAAAUGCUUCACUCUGUCCUUUGGGUAGUUGCUGAGGUGAUUGUCCAGGUUGAGAAAUAAUGUACUGAUGCUAGAGUCCUUCUCUGUCCAUACUCUACUUCUAAAUGCAUAUAUGCAUAUAUAGCAAGAAGUAUUCUAUUUGUACUUUAAGAGAAUAUAAGGUCCAGCAUCCACAUGAUACUCACACUACACAAAUGACUUAACUUUCAGCUUCAAGUAGUUUCUAAGUGUUUCAUUAGGCACAGCACAGACAUGGCCUUGCCCUCUUUUCUCCCUUGAUAUUUAACAGGGCGCAAAAGCCCAAGCCGUGCCCUCUACCCGUUCCCAGCCCCGUGCCAGGGUUGCACUUCAUGAGACUUUCUCCAGAUAGCCCACUAACUGUCCCUGCAUGACUCUGUGAAAACAAGAGGCUAACUACUAGUUAUCCUGUUCCAGGAGCCCAGGUGAGAGGGCAGUGGGCCAAGUGCUUGACCCCCUGUAGGGGGUCAUGGGAACCAGGGACGGUAAAGCACAGGAUCAAAUCCCAAACUUAAAGUCAAAAUAAGCCAUUUAGCAUACGCAAUUUCUUGUAAAAUGAAGUCUCUACCCCUGUUGCCUUUUAUAGGCAGGUCUGUUCUCACCACUAAUCUCUCUGAAAAUCUUUGAAAGCAGUUUAAAAAAAAGACAAAGAGAUGAAAGCACCACAUUAUGUAACCAAAGAUUACACUGUAUCUGCUAAGAUACCAAAUUUUUUAAGGGCAGGGAGGGAACAAGCAUUAGUGCCUCUUGGGUAAGGUAUCCAAAGACAGACUAAAGGAGUUUGCUGGUGACUGACUUAUAAGAGUUUUGUGGGGUUUUUCCCCAACAAUAUACAUAUUUAGAAGAAUGGAAGAUAAUUUUAGGAAAAGAAUGGGAUUAUGGUUCCUUCACUAAGUGAUUUUAUAAGCAAAACUAGCUUUCCUUUUCUCUAGUAGUUGCUGAACAAAUUCCUAAAGCUCCAUUAUUGCAUGGAUGGACAUGGAGCUGUCUUGGCCACUGUGUUUGCUAGUGCCCAUGUUAGCUUAUCUGAAGAUGUGAAGCCCUUGCUGAGAAGGGGAGUGUUUAAAGGACUAGAUUUUGCACUAGAGAGACAGCAGGCAGAAUUUCUCAUUUCUGCCCACUUUGGACAACACAAAAAGUUCUCUGCGAUCUAAGGCAGAAGGUUGAAAUAUAUUGUAAAUGAGUAUUUGUAUCCAUGUUUCAAAAUUGAAUUAUAUAUAUAUAGAUAUAAUAUGUUCUGAUAGCUUUACCUUUCUCUGCACCUUUAUAUUUGGUUCCAGGUCAUAAUUGAUACCAUGUACUUGUGAGAGAGGCUGCAGUUACAUUUUGGAAGCUCUCUCAGAACAGAAAAGACACCUGGGUUGAUCAGAUAACUAAGAGACCUCUGCGCCUAUUGGGGCCUGACCCACAGGCCUUGCAAAAGGAACAGAGAGGGGAAAAGGGUACAUGAUGUAUUGCACUUUACUAGCCCAAGACAGAUGAAUGUGUAAAGGGUGGUGAAGACUUACUGGAACUGACUGGGAUUUACCAUAGGCAAGGCCAGACUAGGAGACAAAGGCCCACCCAAAUAAUUAGCCAAUGGCCCCCUAAUGGGAGCUGAGCAGUUAGAAGAAGAAGGGCAUUCUUUGUUCUUCACCAUCCUUGUGAAAAAAAGGCAGUUUCCUGCACUUGGGAACCUGGAGCAAGUGCUCCAUCUUUCACACAAUUCACUCACCUGCGAUUGAGGUGCUCUUGCUACUGGAUGUCUGUGUGCUCUAAUUCUGGUUUUGGAUAUGUUCUGUGAAGCUUUUAACAAUGAAAAUGUGUUUUUGUCUGUUAAAAAAUUGUCAAUGUACUAUAAGUUGUAUUUCUGUAGGUACAGGUCCAUCUCUGCCCAUGGGUAGGGGUGUUUUUCUUUAAUUAAGAGAUUGACACUGGGAUCUGUUGCCCAGAGCCUCCCAACCCUCAACCAUUUCUAGGUGAAGGCAGAAAAAUCCAUAUUAGUCACUCCUCUUCAGACACUUCAGCUGAGGUAACAAACCAUUUGAAAUGUCACUGCCCCAAAAAUGCGUGGUAUUUGAACUUUGUAGGUAGAGUAUUAAGGGGAAAAACAGCCUUUGAUUCAGCUUUGAUUUAUCUCCAUUUGAUUUGGCCAGAAAGUAGGUAAUACGCAUUGAUUGUUUUCCAACCCCAAUUCUGUAUAGCAGGGGUGCUGGUUCCUUUUCUUAUUCCACUUGUCUCUUAGCCUUUUAUGGAAUUAAGUGAGAAGCUAUGGACUGAGUAGCCCUUGUGGCCUAAAACAUUCCCCACAUGUGCCACUUAACAAGGCUGUCAUAUGGCUGCAGAUUCCAUCAGCCACCAAAAACUGGAACACACACUUACCCCAAAGGGAAGAAAAUUUUGAAAUGUUGCUCCUUCUCUGGCGGUGCCCUCCCUGGCUGAUGCUUCGCAUUUUGGGACUCUGUUCCCUGCACAACAGACAGGCCAGGCCUGCAGUCUCUCUCACCCUUAGCCCUUGGUGCUAACUGUCCUGCAGUGAAGUGCCUGUGAGAUUGUCUUAUCCCAUAAGCCACUUGGGUGCUGAGAGUAGCCACCAUUUAGAUGACCUAAGCUAAAAAACAGUCCCCUCACCACUCAAUGACACCAUUCUGCUUUCCCCUAGACUGGAACAGUGAUUAGGGAGUGCCUCAGACAUGACAGUCUUGUGCUGUCCUUGAGAUUAAUUUGGCAGCAGGAGGGAGCAGACUAUGUAACCAGAUGUAAGAAUUAAUUUUUGAUGUUGAGGGAAAAAAUAAAGAAAUAAAAAAGAGAAAGCAUCAUAAGAGAUUUUUUUAAAAGAAUCAUUAAUUUUGCUUGAAACUUCUUUCAAUGGGGCUUCAGUUCUCAUAGCGGCACUUGGCCUCCACUGGGCAGCAGGACCAGCCCCAAGCGCUAGUGUUCUGUUUUCUUUUUGUAAUCUUGGAAUCUUUUGUUGCUCUAAAUACAAUUAAAAAUGGCAGAAAUUUGUUUGUUG
ensembl:lncRNA